rnacentral:piRNA from 1 species
UAAGACAAUGGUGAAAUCUGGCUU